GCCGGGUUGGCUCAAUGGUAGAGCAUCGCCCUCCUACCAGUUGUUUAGGCGAAGGUUGCGGGUUCAAGCCCCGUGCUCGGUA